rnacentral:rRNA from 1 species
UACGGGGGGGCAAGCGUUGUUCGGAAUUACUGGGCGUAAAGGGCGCGUAGGCGGUGCUCUAAGUCGGAUGUGAAAACUCUGGGCUCAACCCAGAGCCUGCAUCCGAAACUGGAGUGCUAGAGUUCUGGAGGGGGUAGCGGAAUUCCUGGUGUAGCGGUGAAAUGCGUAGAUAUCAGGAGGAACACCGGUGGCGAAAGCGGCUACCUGGACAGAAACUGACGCUGAGGCGCGAAAGCUAGGGGAGCAAACAGG